rnacentral:rRNA from 1 species
AGCGAACGCUGGCGGCAGGCUUAACACAUGCAAGUCGAGCGGGCAUCCUUGUGGUGUCAGCUGCAGACGGGUGAGUAACGCGUGGGAACGUGCCCUUCGGUUCGGAAUAACUCAGGGAAACUUGAGCUAAUACCGGAUACGUGCGAGAGCAGAAAGGUUUAUCUGCCGAAGGAUCGGCCGGCGUCUGAUUAGCUAGUUGGGGAGGUGACGGCUCACCAAGGCGACGAUCGGUAGCUGGUCUGCGAGGAUGAUCAGCCACCCUGGAACUGAGACACGGCCCAGACUCCUGGGGGAGGCCGCCGUGGGGACUACUGGACGAUGGGCGCAUGCCUGAUCCAGCCCUACCGCGUGGGUGAAGAAGGCCUUCUGGCUGUAAAGCCCUUUUGUGGGGAAAGAAGAGCAGCAGGGUAAUCCCCGGCUGUUCUGACGGUACCCAAAGAAUAAGCACCGGCUAACUUCGUG